rnacentral:misc_RNA from 1 species
CUAGGAACAAAGAAAGGGAAGCCUGAGGGCUGACCCCGAAGCUUCAC